rnacentral:rRNA from 1 species
AAAUACUACCCAGUGACCGAUAGCGUAUAGUACUGUGAAGGAAAGGUGAAAAGCACCCCGGGAGGGGAGUGAAAAAGAACCUGAAACCCUGUGCCUACAAGCACCUAGAGCACGUCAAUGUGUGAUAGGGUACUUUUUGUAGAACGGUCCGGCGAGCGAUUGUAUGCAGCAAGGUUAAGGACUUAAGGUCUGGAGCCGAAGCGAAAGCGAGUUUGAAAAGGGCGUUAAGUUGCAUAUAAUGGGCCCGAAACCGGGUGACCUACCCAUGGUCAGGUUGAAGUGGAAGUAAAAUUCCAUGGAGGACCGAACCGACCUCCGUUGAAAAGGCGGCGGAUGAACUGUGGGUAGCGGAGAAAUUCCAAUCGAACCCGGAGAUAGCUGGUUCUCCCCGAAAUAGUUUUAGGACUAGCCUCAAGUUAGAUACCUGGAGGUAAAGCACUGAAUAGCCUAGCGGCCGAGAGGUUAGCGAAGCUUAUCAAACUCAGAAUGCCAGAGUAUUGAUGCUUGGGAGUCAGACAGUGUCAGAUAAAUGUCAUUGUCAAAAGGGAAACAGCCCAGAUCUACAGCUAAGGUCCCAAAGUCAGGUUAAGUGGAAAACGAUGUGAAGAUACGCAGACAACCAGGAUGUUGGCUCAGAAGCAGCCACUCAUUCAAAGAGUGCGUAAUAGCUCACUGGUCGAGCGUCUUUGCGCGGAGAAUUUAACGGGGCUAAACCUGACACCGAAGCUUAGGCAAUACAGAAAUGUAUUGGGUAGGGGAGCGUUGUAUACGCGGAGAAACAGUAGCGCAAGCGGCUGUGGAGUGUAUAGAAGUGAGAAUGCCGGAAUGAGUAGCGCGAAUGCAGUGAGAAUCUGCAUGGCCGAAAGCCUCAGGUUUCUGGAGGAAGGUUCGUCCGCUCCAGGUUAGUCGGGAGCUAAGGUGAGGCCGGAAGGCGUAGCCGAUGCACAGACGGUAGAGAUUCCGUCACCACCAAAAGAGUUAAGCACAGGGACACAUUUGAAGUCUCAGAGCCGGGUGUUGGUUCCGGUAGAGAUCGAGGGAAAUUAGUACCGAAGUCUGGGAUGGAAGAUGGCGAGAAAAGCUGUGUGUAUUUCUGAGGUGCCCGUACCGCAAACCGACACAGGUAGGUAGGAAGAAGAUUCUAAGGCCAACGGGAGAAGGGUUGUUAAGGAACUCGGCAAAUUGACCCCGUAACUUCGGGAGAAGGGGUGCUCCAGAGAUGGAGCCGCAGAGAAUCGGCCCAAGCAACUGUUUACCAAAAACACAGGUUUGUGCUAAAUCGAAAGAUGACGUAUACGAGCUGACGCCUGCCCGGUGCUGGAAGGUUAAGAGGAGAUGUGCAAGCAUUGAAUCGAAGCCCCAGUGAACGGCGGCCGUAACUAUAACGGUCCUAAGGUAGCGAAAUUCCUUGUCAGGUAAGUUCUGACCCGCAUGAAAGGCGUAAUGAUUUGGGCACUGUCUCAACAGCCCGCCCGGCGAAAUUGUAGUACCGGUGAAGAUGCCGGUUACCCGCGACAAGACGGAAAGACCCCAUGGAGCUUUACUGUAGCCUAAUAUUGGGUUUCGAUGUUGCAUGCACAGGAUAGAUGGGACACUGGGAAACAAUCGCUUUGGCGGUUGCGGAGUGGCCGUUGGGAUACCAUCCUUGCGAUAUUGGAAUUCUAACCUGCGGCUCUGAAUCGAGUCGGGGGACAUUGUUAGGUGGGCAGUUUGACUGGGGCGGUCGCCUCCUAAAGAGUAACGGAGGCGUUCAAAGGUUCGCUCAGCUUGAACGGAAAUCAAGCAAAAGAGUGCAAACGCAGAAGCGAGCCUAACUGCGAGACUGACGGGUCGAGCAGUAACGAAAGUUGGAGUUAGUGAUCCGGUGGUAUGUGAGUGGAAAUGCCAUCGCUCAACGGAUAAAAGUUACCCUGGGGAUAACAGGCUGAUCUCCCCCAAGAGUCCACAUCGACGGGGAGGUUUGGCACCUCGAUGUCGGCUCAUCGCAUCCUGGGGCUGUAUUCGGUCCCAAGGGUUUGGCUGUUCGCCAAUUAAAGCGGUACGCGAGCUGGGUUCAGAACGUCGUGAGACAGUUCGGUCCCUAU